UGUCCUCAGUCUGCUGGGUCCCCUUCCCCACAGGUCCCACUCGGCGGCCAUACCCAGGAGGAAGGUGUCCUCUCCUUCCCACUCUGGGUCUGGGGCUUCCACACAUCACUGACCACUGUUCACCAAAGGAAUUCUCUGCUGGCCACCACCCAUGUCAGUACCGGCUUCCCAGCCCUGGGGCUGCUGCAGAAAUGACACGUCACCCACAUCCUUCAUAAAUCAGUUUCCUGACUGACUUUCUUGGACCACGAAACAGAGAGGAACAGUGCAAAGCCCAUGUCUACAGCUGCAGAUCCCAUGGGGAUGCUCCCGCCUGUGAGCACACACCUCCGUUCUGUGCCCGGUCCUGGCAGCGCUUUCUCCUUCAGGAGGCGUUUGAGAACUUGGCCGGCUGGAAUGAAAGGCUUUUCUGUUUUGCUGGCUGCUGACCUUUCGCUGAAGGCCACGCUGGCCAUGGAUGUGAGCGUGGUGCUGCGUUAGCCAGUGCCCAGCUCACCUGGGCAAUGGACGGGGGGGUGAAUUCUUGGAGCAGCGUUGCUACAGCACUGUCUCAUGAAAAGAUGCACUGAUCUAUGAACAAGCUGUCUGGCCCAACCCUGGAGGCAUGGGGCUGCUGAAGAGCACCAGAAGAUCUCGGUUUAUCAUCAGCCCUUCACGGGAACUUGACUGGACAGGCUCUGACAGAAACUGAACAUUUGAUCACCUGGUUUAUGCCAUUUUUAUGUUGAUAUCUGGAGAAUUAUUUCCAGUUCUUGCCAAAUGAGAGGAUGUCUCAUCCACUGUAAGUAGCCUAAGGCUUAAAUAAAUUGUGCAGGAAUCAGUAGUGGAACAAGAGAGGACAAAGUCGGAAAAAGGCAUUUGGCUGGAUCCAGCAUUGCACUGAUCUACUAGCACUCCAAAAAUGCUCUUCCAAAUGUUAAGACUUCUACAGAUAAUGUUCAGUCAGAUUCAUGCUUCCCUAUCUCAGUCUCGAGGAAGGAGGUUGUUAGAGACAUUGCUUGAGGGACAGAGAUGGUGGCAGUUCCCGUACAAGUGAUGCCUGCUCUGGGAAAACCUUGUGGGUGCUAU